rnacentral:sRNA from 1 species
AGGCCUUAUUCAUGGGCUCACCGCUGAGGUUCGACGGGCGGGUGGUACUGGUCACCGGCGCGGGGGCAGGAUUGGGCCGAGCCUAUGCCCUGGCUUUUGCAGAAAGAGGAGCGUUAGUUGUUGUGAAUGAUUUGGGAGGGGACUUCAAAGGAGUUGGUAAAGGCUCCUUAGCUGCUGAUAAGGUUGUUGAAGAAAU